AAUGAACGCUGGCGGCGUGCCUAACACAUGCAAGUCGAGCGAGAAAGUCCCCUUCGGGGGGCGAGUAAAGCGGCGCACGGGUGAGUAACGCGUGGGUAACCUGCCCUAGAGUGGGGGAUAACCAGCCGAAAGGCUGACUAAUCCCGCAUACGACCGGCAGACACAAGUCUGCUGGGGAAAGAUGGCCUCUGCUUGCAAGCUAUCGCUCUUGGAUGGGCCUGCGUUGGAUUAGCUAGUUGGUGAGGUAAUGGCUCACCAAGGCUGCGAUCCAUAGCUGGUUUGAGAGGACGACCAGCCACACUGGAACUGAGACACGGUCCAGACUCCUACGGGAGGCAGCAGUGGGGAAUAUUGCACAAUGGGCGAAAGCCUGAUGCAGCGACGCCGCGUGAGGGAUGACGGCCCUCGGGUUGUAAACCUCUUUCAGCAGGGAAGAAGCGAAAGUGACGGUACCUGCAGAAGAAGCACCGGCUAACUACGUG
rnacentral:rRNA from 1 species